rnacentral:tRNA from 1 species
GCCUGGGUGGCUCAGUUGGUUGGGCGUCUGACUUCAGCUCAGGUCACGAUCUCGCGGUCCGUGAGUUCGAGCCCCGCGUCGGGCU